AGCAAUCUGCCUUUUGGAUGGGGGAUAACAGCUGGAAACGACUGCUAAUACCGCAUGAUGCAGCGGGGUCGCAUGAUUUUUGCUGCCAAAGAUUUAUCGUCCAAAGAUGAGCUCGCGUCUGAUUAGCCAGUUGGCGGGGUAACGGCCCACCAAAGCGACGAUCAGUAGCCGGACUGAGAGGUUGAACGGCCACAUUGGGACUGAGACACGGCCCAGACUCCUACGGGAGGCAGCAG
rnacentral:rRNA from 1 species